UUCAUGGCUUUUCUCAAAGCCACCGAAGCACAACAAUACGUAGAUC
rfam:Alligator mississippiensis ScZkoYb_24, whole genome shotgun sequence.